AUAUUUCUCACGUUAGUUUUAAUCGAAUUGUGUUUUUUGUUAUAUUUAGUUAAGAUUAGGUAUUAACGAACGAAACUACACUAAAACAUAUAUUUUUUAUCCAAUAUAUGGUUAAAUUCUUGCCAAGAUAAAGGAUAAUACAACCAGAUGAUUUUGAAGGACUUGGACAAGAAAAUGCCAAAGACAAGAAUUAGGAAUAAUUAGAAUAAAAAUCGUGGCGUUAAAUCAGCUUAUCUGGGAAAGGUAUCGGGGAAGCGCCCAGUCGGACGUCUCAGAUAUCGGUGGAGCAACGCUGUGAAGGCUGAUCUGCACGAGCUGGGAGCGGUCAAUUGGCAGAUGUCCUCCGUGCUGAACAGACGAUUAUGGCGUACUCUCGUUUCGGAGGCCAAGAUCUACUUUGGGGUCACUGAGCCGGCGUAGUAAAUUGUUAAAGCGACUAUACAGAUACAGACGUAUACAUCCAUUUAAUGUUUUCGUAUUGAGUCGCAUCGCAUCUUUUUGUGUUAAGGAGGACAACGGCUGAUGCACUGAGUGUCAAAUAUAAGUAAUGUACAGGGAUAUUUGACUGAUUCUUCUACCACCAACACAUACAAAACGUAGAGCGUCCAGAAAUUCUGGCCUUGUGUCUGGUGGUGGCUGGUGUGUUUGGAGCUCCCGCCGACGUUGUAACCGUGGUGGAUUCUCUCGUCAAAAGCGAUGGGCACGGCAACUACGAGUUUUGGUUUCAACUAUCAGAUGAGACGUAUAGAUGGCAAACUGGCGAAGUAAAGACUGCUAGUAAUGGUAAACCAUUUGUGUUCACUUCAGGGGGGUAUAGGUAUUAUGACAUUGCGAGGGAGGUGUUCCACACGAUACAAUUUGAGGCUGAUGAAAAUGGUUACAGAGCUAAAGUCACUGAAGAACCCCUGCCUCCAGGAGCACCCCCGCCGCGUCUAGUUGCUGGUGCAGGCGGUGGAUAAGUACAUACUUGCAACUAACUAUAUAAGGGCGUUACAAAAUACCUAUGUAUAUGCGAAUAGAUAAGAUGCGGUAUCGGGAGAUCCUGCGAAGUUUUAAGUUAACAUUACCACUUCUAGCCGAAAAAUGGCAAGAAUCAAGUGAAAAUGGGCUGGUCAUAUAGCCAGAAACGACGGACUCGUGGAGUGGAGACUAUGGGGCAGAAAGCGUCCAGCAGAAAGUCCACAAAUGCGGUGAAAGACCACUUCAUUAAGAUAGCAGGCAGCAACUGGAUCUUAGCUGCCUAAAAUAGGGAAAUGUGGCGGGAACUGAAGGAGGCCUUCACAAAAUUUUAGAUGAACGACGCUGAAAAGAAGAAAGAAGAUUAGCACUUCUAAUAGGCUCAUACGGACGAUUUCGUAUUCGUUACUGCAGACGUCUGACUACUUUUAUUUAUUAAUUUAUUUAAACUUUAUUGCACAACUAUACAAUAUGUAAAAUAAUGGCGAACUUAAUGCUAAAAGCAUUAUCUAACAGUCAACCUUUGUUUCAAACUGCAGAUAAUGCUGUGGGUUACUUUCUAGAAGUGUUUAUGAGUAUUAACUUGAAAUUUUGCAUAAAAGAUCUACCCAUGGUACCGUAUCUUACCACUUCGUAUGUAUAUAGAUAUAGGUUGAAAGACUUUUUAUAGAAGGUUGUAUACAAGCAGGGCCUUCGAAUAUUUUUGUAUAAAAUUUUAAACUGGAUGAAAUAAAAUUAUAACGAAACAAAUAUGUUGCUCCCUAGGGGUAUAGGUGGCUUUUGAAACACAAGCCAAAUUUUGAAUUACUAAAAUUUGUAUCAAUGUUUGCCGAAUAAAUUCUUUCUUUCUUACCUACAUAUGUAUUGAUGUCAUAAUCUUCUUCAUAGUUAUACUCUUCAAUAAAUGUAAAUAAAAAUUAAA